AUUUCAGGGCUGUACACACAGUGAGUGUCCUGUUCUCUCUCUCUUUGUUUGGAUGUAUUGCUCUGUGUAACUCAGUGGGUCUCCCUCUUUCUGGUUUGUUUUUUUUUCUAGAUUCCUGCCGUUUGUUCAUCGUUGUGCCUAAAGCAUGUCGAUGUGGCGUCAAGUACAUCGUCCAAAUCCCUGUCUCUUCAGCUUCUCUGAUGCUUGAACUCUCACCUUUGACCUUGUGUUGACCUUUGAUGCUGACGUGUAUUUUUAUUAUGUUUGUUUCUUUCUUCGUUUUUUUUUUCUUUUUCUUUUUUUCUUUCCUUUUUUUUUUUUUCCCUUUUGUGCUGCCAAAUUGGUUUUGCUAGAACGACUGCUGAAGGGGAAAUAUUUAAACUUGCAUUUGAAUAUAAAAAAAAUCUAUUUUUCUAGAACUUCAUAAGAUAACCACUUGAUUUUGUGAUUCCAAUUCUUUGUAAUUGUCUUCAGAGCAGCCCUACUAGCACAUACCGCGUGGUGUUUGUAUUUCUGUGAACACACAGCCAGUCCGUUUCUAGGCUUUGUUUCUCUGUGUGCUUAGUUUUAAAGACAACUUUGAAGUAAACAAUGAAAUAAAAGAUGUCACUAAAACCUUUGAGGCUCCUGAGCACAUUUUGCUGAUACAGUCUUCUGACUGCACAGAGCCGCCUCUGUUGGCAGGAGGCACUGAGGCUCCCCUUCCUGUGUAUUGAGAAGCCGUGUUUGCCAAUAUAUUUUGCUUUCAAUUCCAAGAGGAGCUCUGGGAAAACCUGUGGAUAAAACCAAAUGCCAAAUGUUGGACGUUGUUUCCUUUUCCUUUUCUCUCUCUGAUUGUUUUAAUUGUUCUGUGGUGGUUUUAAUGGAUUUGAGACCCUGGAGCGGCAGCUGCCUUUCUGAUUUCCAGCUGCUUUUUGUGAAUAAUUUAAAAAGAAAAAAAAAAAAAAGAAACUUUACAUUUUGGAGACAAACCUGUGUGAGUUUUUUAUUGGUACAAACGUUGUAUUUAACACUAGGGGUUUUGUACAGUUUUUUGCCUUUUCUACUAGAAAACAAUGUAAAGUGAUUUCACAAUGUGAAGAGAAAAAAAAAUUGCCACUAUGACCAAACGCACAGUCUGUUCUGCAGCAACAACGGGAUUCAAUCAACUCAGUCGUGAUUCAGCCGUAGAAAUGCUUUUCCUUUAUCUUGUUUGAGCUUUUCUUUUCUUUCCUGUUUUGAUUUGCAAAAGAAAAUGUCUUUUUUGUGUGAACUUGUGUUGUACUCUGUAGAAAAUUAUGGAUUUUACUUUAAUGGUUUAAAAAAAGGCAAGAAGAGCUCUCGUCGCUUUUCUUACCUAAUCACAGAGUUUGUGUAGUGAAUUUAAAAAGAAAAAAAAAUUGUUACAAGUUUGGGUCAAGGGAGUAUGUGUUUCAAAGGAAUCUCCUUCCUUUUUUUUGUGUGUUUUUCCUUUUGUCCCAAUGGGGAACCUAAAUCUGUUUUAAUUGCACAGACACACGGACAAAAAGUCAUUUUGUAUCUGCCAAGUGUGGUACCUUCCUUUGUUUAUUUGCUAUUAAACUGUUUGAGA
rnacentral:lncRNA from 1 species